rnacentral:misc_RNA from 1 species
GAUGAAGAACGCAGCGAAAUGCGAUAAGUAAUGUGAAUUGCAGAAUUCAGUGAAUCAUCGAAUCUUUGAACGCACCUUGCGCUCUUUGGUAUUCCGAAGAGCAUGCCUGUUUGAGUGUCAUGAAAAUAUCAACCUUGACUUGGGUUUUGUGCUCUAGUCUCGGCUUGGAAUUGGGUGCUUGCCGCUUUUACGAGCGGCUCACCUUAAAUGUAUUAGCUGGAUCUGUCUUUGAGACUUGGUUUGACUUGGCGUAAUAAGUAUUUCGCUAAGGACAUUCUUCGGAGUGGCCUCGUUUCUAGGACGCUUGUCCGCUUUCCAAUACAAGUUCCACCUCGUGGACAUGACUUUUUAUUAUCUGGCCUCAAAUCAGGUCGGACUACCCGCUGAACUUAAGCAUAUCAAUAAGCGGAGGA